UACGGGGGGAGCAAGCGUUGUUCGGAUUUACUGGGCGUAAAGGGCGCGUAGGCGGCGUGACAAGUCACUUGUGAAAUCUCCGGGCUUAACUCGGAAAGGUCAACUGAUACUGCGGGGCUAGAGUGCGGAAGGGGCAACUGGAAUUCUCGGUGUAGCGGUGAAAUGCGUAGAGAUCCGGAAGAACACCGGUGGCGAAGGCGGCCGUGCUGGGCAGUAGCUGACGCUGAAGCGCGACAGCGUGGGGAGCAAACAGG
rnacentral:rRNA from 1 species